AUACGUAGGUGGCAAGCGUUGUCCGGAAUUAUUGGGCGUAAAGCGCAUGUAGGCGGUGCCUUAAGUCUGUCGUGAAACUGCGGGGCCUAACCCCGUAUGGCGAUGGAAACUGUGGCACUUGAGUGCAGGAGAGGAAAGGGGAACUCCCAGUGUAGCGGGGAAAUGCGUAGAUAUUGGGAAGAACACCGGUGGCGAAGGCGCCUUUCUGGACUGUGUCUGACGCUGAGAUGCGAAAGCCAGGGUAGCGAACGGGAUUAGAUACCCCGGUAGUCCUGGCCGUAAACGAUGGGUACUAGGUGUGGGAGGUAUCGACCCCUUCCGUGCCGGAGUUAACGCAAUAAGUACCCCGCCUGGGGAGUACGGCCGCAAGGCUUAAACUCAAAUGAAUCGACGGGG
rnacentral:rRNA from 1 species